UGGACUAGGCGGAAAUUUUGACUUUGUGGCAGUGGCGAUUUGUUACAUUUUAUUUUACUAGACAAGUCAAUUAAGAACAAAUUCCUAUUUUACAAUGACGGCCUACCCUGACAAAACCCUCCCCUAACCCGGACAACGCUAGGCCAAUAUUGUGCGCCGCCCUAUGGGACUCCCGAUCACGGCUGGUUGUGUUACAGCCCAGGAUCGAACCCGGGUCUUUAGUGAUCCCUCGAGCACUGAGCUAUCAAGGAGGGGGGUUUGGGAAGAUGGUGGAGGCGGAUGUUUUGUUUCAAAUUGAUGGCGCGUCGAAUGGAGAUGAGAAGGAAUGGAUUACAGUGGCAAACAAAAAAGGGAAACAAGAGAAGUAAAGUGGUUGUGGAGUCUAGUAAAUCCAAGCCUAGUUCUGACUCUUAGAGUGAGGAUUUUAGAUCGAUCGAGAUAACUGGGAGAUCCGUUUGAAGUCUCGAUAACAAGAAAUAUGUUUAUUUUUGUGUGUCCGAGGAGCUGAAGUAGAGUUCUUUGCACCCGAUAAAGAUAUUAGAAGGUGUCGUGUGUGGAUCUGCGAAGCAGGGCGCCUAUGGUGAAUGCCGACUGACCAGUAUGGUGUAUGGAGUGAGGAAACCGACUCCAUCCAUUAUUUUGUUAUUUUCUCCGUGCAGCGUCACAUGCAUAUUUGGGUUAUGUGAGAUAUUCUGUAGGAGCCUUCGUGCCCAACCCUUUGCAGUGUGAUAAAUGUUAACUAUUUGGACUUGGGGCGGACUAAUAACCGAAAGGUUGCACGAUUGAAUCCCUGAUAAGGUCAACAUGUGUCAUUCAGUCCCUGAACAAGGCAGUUAACCCACUGUUCCUAGGCUGUCAUUGAAAAUAAGAUUUUGUUCUUAGCUGACUUGCCUAGUUAAAUAAAGGUGUCAAGUGUAUGUAGACUGGAAUAUCGUAUGCUAGUUGGAGCGACAUGCUGCAAUUGUGGUGGCGAGCAUGCACCCAAAUUCAGGAAGUGCCCUGUUAGGGUGAAGGAGACAUGUCCAGCAUGUCUCCUAUCUGGAGACAGUAAGAAUAAGGAAGUAAUGUUUAAGAAACCAUAGUAGUUAUCACCAACAGGAUCCUGAAAUGUUGCAUGUUAAAAAGGUGGACUUUGUAUCGUUUAUUGCAUUGGUUAUAAACUGCACAGCGCUAACAACGAAAUCAGAGAAAAUAGGCAUUGUUGUGAAUGCGGCUGAAUGUUUUUUGGGACUUUACAGCAGAGGCAAGGAAUCCUGUCAAUUACUGUUCCGUCCACACAGGCCCCAGAAAGAUGUGAUCCUACCAUUAAUUAAUAUAUUGUGUCCCUUGCCUGAAAGGAUGGAAGUUCAAUGUAGCUUGAUGUAGUAGGCUAAUCGUUGGCCAUAAAAGGAAGUUAGGCUAGCGAGCAAGCAUUUUAGCCAGAUAACCUAGGACAACAAAAAAUAAAAGCGUGAUAUGACAAGAGUCAGAGACCGUUUCGCCAAAAUGAAAGCGGGCAGGAUGGCAUUGGCGUUUCUCUACAAGUAGGGUGAGUCAACAAGUAGAAAACACACACAGAAAUCAGUACCCCCAUGGACAGCCACGUGAUAUUUAGCUUACAUUGAUUGGACUAAAUUGUUGUGGGAAUCUUUUAGUCACUGUAUUAGACUAAACAUAGGUGAUUUGAUGAUGUUGAAAUGGUGGUGAAAUAGCGGAGGCAGCUCCUGUUUUUCUUUGCGACAUGCGGUAACUCCAGUGUUCUAAAUCAAUAGUUAAGAGGAGUCUGAAAAUGUUGGAAACAUUAACUUGAUUGACCAUGUAACUGUUUGUUACAUGCAAUAUCCUUUGUGGACUCCACUGGACAGAUGUUGCUCUCCGGUUUUGUGAUGAAACAAAGGUAUGGUUGAAUUUAUUCUGCCACUGUCUUCUUAUUGUCUCGGACUUAAGCCUAUAUAGCACGGUGGCAAGGUAGAUGAACAGGUUAUGGAGCAAACAACGCAAUUAUCAUAACACACAGGUUUUUUUUUCUGGCUUGGUGUAACAGUAUAACUUUAAACCGUCACCUCGCCCAUACCCGGGCGCGAACCAGGGACUCUGCACACAUCAACAACAGUCACCCACCGCUCCACAAAAGCCUCUGCAAGGGGAACUACUACUUCAAGCAACCAGUGAUCCGGGUCAACAGCAUCAAUGUAACAGUAUAACUUUAAACCGUCCCCUCGCCCAUACCCGAACCAGGGACUCUGCACACAUCAACAACAGUCACCCACGAAGCAUCGUUACCGCCGCGGCCCUUGCAGAGCAGGGGGACUACUACUUCAAGGUCUCAGAGCAAGUGACGUAACCGAUUGAAACGCUAUUUAGCGUGCACUGCUAACUAAGCUAGCCGUUUCACAUCCGUUACAUUGGCUUCCUUAGGGAUUUUACCCACCCACUGCAAUAACCUAAAACACAAGGCCAAAUUUACAGUGGAGUUGCUUAACAAAAAAGACAGUGAAUGUUCCUGAGUGUCCGAGUUACAGUUUUGACUUAAAUCUGCUUGAAGAUCUAUGGCAAGACCUAGAAAUGGUUGUCUAGCAAUGUUCAAAAAACAAUUUGACAGAGCUUGAAGAAUUUUGAAAAGAAUAAUGCCAAAUAUUGCACAAUCCAGUUGUAGAAAGCUCUUAGAGACUUACCCAGAAAGACUUACAGCUGUAAUCGCUGCCAAAGGUGAUUCUAUCAUGUAUUGGCUCGGGCUUGAAUAAAUAUCUAAUCAAGAUA